GAGACUCUGUGCGCGUGCAUAUCAAUAAGCGGAGGAAAAGAAACUAACAAGGAUUCCCCUAGUAACGGCGAGUGAAGCGGGAAGAGCUCAAAUUUGAAAUCUUAAAGGGUUUCCCUUUACGAAUUGUAGUUUAAAGAAGUGUUUUCUGUUGGAGUUUCGGUAAAAGUUCUUUGGAAUAGGACAUCAUAGAGGGUGAGAAUCCCGUAUUUGACCGUUACUUUCCAGCUGUGUGAUACACUUUCAAAGAGUCGGAUUGUUUGGGAAUGCAGUCCAAAAUGGGUGGUAAAUUUCAUCUAAAGCUAAAUAUUGGCGAGAGACCGAUAGCGAACAAGUACCGUGAGGGAAAGAUGAAAAGAACUUUGAAAAGAGAGUUAAACAGUACGUGAAAUUGUCAAAAGGGAAGCGUUUGACACCAGUGUUGUUUUUCCGAAAAUCAAUUACGAAUGUUUUGUUUUUGAGGAGUUAUGACUUCAUCGGCUUGCUCCUUUCCUUACGAAACUUUUUUAAUGCACUUUUCGGUUAACAAGUCAACAUCAAGUUUCUUUUGUUGUAAAAGGUCAUUGAGAAGGUGGCUUUCUUUUCGGAGAAAGUGUUUAUAGCCUUGUGACUCCUGCAAUCGGAGAGACUGAGGUCUGCAGCGUAGAUCCUUCGUUGAGUUAGAUUACAGUUUGUGCUAAGUUAUAGCUUUUCAUAGACAACUUGUUGACUAUGUUUAGUCUUGUAGCUUACUCGCUUACGCUAUUUUACCUACGCUUAGGAUGUUGAACUCUAUCACACACAG
rnacentral:rRNA from 1 species